AUUGAACGCUGGCGGUAGGCUUAACACAUGCAAGUCGAACGGUAGCAGCUCUAGCUUGCUAGAGGCUGACGAGUGGCGGACGGGUGAGUAACGCGUAGGAAUCUACCUAAUAGUAGGGGACAACCUGGUGAAAACCAGGCUAAUACCGCAUACGCCCUACGGGGAAAGGACGGGGGAGUCUUCGGACCUCGCGCUAUUAGAUGAGCCUGCGUUAGAUUAGCUAGUUGGUGGGGUAAAGGGACUCACCAAGGCGACGAUCUAUAGCUGGUCUGAGAGGAUGAUCAGCCACACUGGGACUGAGACACGGCCCAGACUCCUACGGGAGGCAGCAGUGGGGAAGUAUUGCGCAAUGGGCGAAAGACCUGACGCAGCCAUACCGCGUGUGUGAAGAAGGGUUUAGGCUCGUAAAGCACUUUAAGUAGGGAGGAAGGCCUAAAGUUUAAUACGCUUUAGGAUUGACGUUACCUACAGAAUAAGCACCGGCUAACUCCGUGCCAGCAGCCGCGGU
rnacentral:rRNA from 1 species